rnacentral:rRNA from 1 species
CCUACGGGAGGCAGCAGUGGGGAAUAUUGCACAAUGUGGGAAACCCUGAUGCAGCGACGCCGCGUGAGUGAAGAAGUAUCUCGGUACGUAAAGCUCUAUCAGCAGGGAAGAAAAUGACGGUACCUGACUAAGAAGCCCCGGCUAACGACGUGCCAGCAGCCGCGGUAAUACGUAGGGGGCAAUCGUUAUCCGGAUUUACUGGGUGUAAAGGGAGCGUAGACGGCAGCACAAGUCUGUAGUGAAAUCCCGGGGCUUAACCCCGGAACUGCUUUGGAAACCGUGCGGCUGGAGUGCAGGAGGGGUAGGCGGAAUUCGUAGUGGAGCGGUGAAAUGCGUAGAGAUUAGGAGGAACACCGGUGGCGAAGGCAGCUUACUGAACUGUAACUGACGUUGAGGCUCGAAAGCGUGGGGAGCAAACAGGAUUAGAUACCCGAGUAGUC